rnacentral:rRNA from 1 species
UACGUAGGGGGCAAGCGUUGUCCGGAUUUAUUGGGCGUAAAGAGCGUGUAGGCGGCUAGGUAGGUCCGUUGUGAAAACUCGAGGCUCAACCUCGAGACGCCGAUGGAAACCAUCUAGCUAGAGUCCGGAAGAGGAGAGUGGAAUUCCUGGUGUAGCGGUGAAAUGCGCAGAUAUCAGGAAGAACACCCGUGGCGAAGGCGGCUCUCUGGGACGGUACUGACGCUGAGACGCGAAAGCGUGGGGAGCAAACAGG